GACGAACGCUGGCGGCGUGCUUAACACAUGCAAGUCGAACGGAAAGGCCCUGCUUGCAGGGUACUCGAGUGGCGAACGGGUGAGUAACACGUUGGUGAUCUGCCCUGCACUUCGGGAUAAGCCUUGGUAACUGGGUCUAAUACCGGAUAGGAGCCAUUUUUAGUGUGAUUGUUGGAAAGUUUUUUCGGUGUAGGAUGAGCUCGCGGCCUAUCAGCUUGUUGGUGGGGUAAUGGCCUACCAAGGCGGCGACGGGUAGCCGGCCUGAGAGGGUGGACGGCCACAUUGGGACUGAGAUACGGACCAGACUCCUACGGGAGGCAGCAGUGGGGAAUAUUGAACAAUGGGCGCAAGCCUGAUGCAGCGCCGCCGCGUGGGGGAUGACGGCCUUCGGGUUGUAAACUCCUUUCGCUAGGGACGAAGCUUUUUGUAACGGUACCUAGAUAAGAAGCACCGGCUAACUACGUG
rnacentral:rRNA from 1 species